AAAUUGAAGAGUUUGAUCAUGGCUCAGAUUGAACGCUGGCGGCAGGCCUAACACAUGCAAGUCGAGCGGAAACGAGUUAUCUGAACCUUCGGGGAACGAUAACGGCGUCGAGCGGCGGACGGGUGAGUAAUGCCUAGGAAAUUGCCCUGAUGUGGGGGAUAACCAUUGGAAACGAUGGCUAAUACCGCAUGAUGCCUACGGGCCAAAGAGGGGGACCUUCGGGCCUCUCGCGUCAGGAUAUGCCUAGGUGGGAUUAGCUAGUUGGUGAGGUAAGGGCUCACCAAGGCGACGAUCCCUAGCUGGUCUGAGAGGAUGAUCAGCCACACUGGAACUGAGACACGGUCCAGACUCCUACGGGAGGCAGCAGUGGGGAAUAUUGCACAAUGGGCGCAAGCCUGAUGCAGCCAUGCCGCGUGUAUGAAGAAGGCCUUCGGGUUGUAAAGUACUUUCAGCAGUGAGGAAGGUGGUAGUGUUAAUAGCACUAUCAUUUGACGUUAGCUGCAGAAGAAGCACCGGCUAACUCCGUGCCAGCAGCCGCGGUAAUACGGAGGGUGCGAGCGUUAAUCGGAAUUACUGGGCGUAAAGCGCAUGCAGGUGGUUUGUUAAGUCAGAUGUGAAAGCCCGGGGCUCAACCUCGGAAUUGCAUUUGAAACUGGCAGACUAGAGUACUGUAGAGGGGGUAGAAUUUCAGGUGUAGCGGUGAAAUGCGUAGAGAUCUGAAGGAAUACCGGUGGCGAAGGCGGCCCCCUGGACAGAUACUGACACUCAGAUGCGAAAGCGUGGGGAGCAAACAGGAUUAGAUACCCUGGUAGUCCACGCCGUAAACGAUGUCUACUUGGAGGUUGUGGCCUUGAGCCGUGGCUUUCGGAGCUAACGCGUUAAGUAGACCGCCUGGGGAGUACGGUCGCAAGAUUAAAACUCAAAUGAAUUGACGGGGGCCCGCACAAGCGGUGGAGCAUGUGGUUUAAUUCGAUGCAACGCGAAGAACCUUACCUACUCUUGACAUCCAGAGAACUUUCCAGAGAUGGAUUGGUGCCUUCGGGAACUCUGAGACAGGUGCUGCAUGGCUGUCGUCAGCUCGUGUUGUGAAAUGUUGGGUUAAGUCCCGCAACGAGCGCAACCCUUAUCCUUGUUUGCCAGCGAGUAAUGUCGGGAACUCCAGGGAGACUGCCGGUGAUAAACCGGAGGAAGGUGGGGACGACGUCAAGUCAUCAUGGCCCUUACGAGUAGGGCUACACACGUGCUACAAUGGCGCAUACAGAGGGCAGCCAACUUGCGAAAGUGAGCGAAUCCCAAAAAGUGCGUCGUAGUCCGGAUUGGAGUCUGCAACUCGACUCCAUGAAGUCGGAAUCGCUAGUAAUCGUGGAUCAGAAUGCCACGGUGAAUACGUUCCCGGGCCUUGUACACACCGCCCGUCACACCAUGGGAGUGGGCUGCAAAAGAAGUAGGUAGUUUAACCUUUGGGGGGACGCUUACCACUUUGUGGUUCAUGACUGGGGUGAAGUCGUAACAAGGUAGCGCUAGGGGAACCUGGCGCUGGAUCACCUCCUUA
rnacentral:rRNA from 1 species